AGAAUGUAUGCACGUCCCUGUGUUCUGAGGACUGUUCAUACAUCAGAGACAUCGCACUUCCCGAAUCCGGUCCCACAAGUGUGUGCAUAGAACUGUGCCAAGUUCCUCCUUGGAAAGACAACCAGAUGGACACCCAGAACUUUCCCUACCUUCGUGUCGAGGUUGUCUCAAGUUCAUGUGGGAAAUAGUAUAUUGGAUAUUAUUGUUAAUUUUUAGGAUGAAAAUCUGGUUAAGAUAAAUGUAGACAUCGACAAGCACAAUCUACAAAAAGGAGAGAAAAGGAAAAGAAAUAACCUACUAGUGGUCCCCAAAGGGGAUGGAGGUAAUAGUAUCAUUAGAGUUUGAUUUGAUCAGAUAUACAACAUGAUUUGUAACUCUCCACACACAAAAAUUUAAGAUGCCAGUCUAUGUUUAUGGGAGUUUCCCUGAUGGCUCAACAGUUUUAUAGAAAUGCAGAAACCAAUACCCCUACAAUUGUGUCAUGUUUUGCCUAAUGACAUUUUUAUAUCUGUUGAAAUAGGAAAGGGAGAAUGAAAACAAAGAGCUCCAGUUCUGAAAAGAAGAUCAAAGUAAUAUGCCAGAAA